rnacentral:rRNA from 1 species
GAUGAACGCUAGCUACAGGCUUAACACAUGCAAGUCGAGGGGUAACGAGAGGAAAGCUUGCUCUCCUUGUCGACGACCGGCGCACGGGUGAGUAACGCGUAUCCAACCUGCCCCCAACUAGGGAAUAACCUUGCGAAAGUAAGACUAAAACCCUAUAAUUUCCUCAGAUGUCAUCUGACGAGGAAUAAAGAUUUAUCGGUUGUGGAUGGGGAUGCGUCUGAUUAGCUUGAUGGCGGGGUAACGGCCCACCAAGGCAACGAUCAGUAGGGGUUCUGAGAGGAAGGUCCCCCACAUUGGAACUGAGACACGGUCCAAACUCCUACGGGAGGCAGCAGUGAGGAAUAUUGGUCAAUGGGCGGAAGCCUGAACCAGCCAAGUAGCGUGCAGGAUGACGGCCCUAUGGGUUGUAAACUGCUUUUAUACAGGAAUAAAGUUAGCCACGUGUGGUUAUUUGUAGGUACUGUAUGAAUAAGGACCGGCUAAUUCCGUGCCAGCCGCCGCCGUAA